GCUUUGCGCCCAAUUGGAUUGGAUGGUGCUUGCACCUGAUUGAUUUUGGUCGCCAACGAGUGGCGGACGGGUGAGUAACACGUAGGUAACCUGCCCAGAAGCGGGGGACAACAUUUGGAAACAGAUGCUAAUACCGCAUAACAACGUUGUUCGCAUGAACAACGCUUAAAAGAUGGCUUCUCGCUAUCACUUCUGGAUGGACCUGCGGUGCAUUAGCUUGUUGGUGGGGUAACGGCCUACCAAGGCGAUGAUGCAUAGCCGAGUUGAGAGACUGAUCGGCCACAAUGGGACUGAGACACGGCCCAUACUCCUACGGGAGGCAGCAGUAGGGAAUCUUCCACAAUGGGCGCAAGCCUGAUGGAGCAACACCGCGUGAGUGAAGAAGGGUUUCGGCUCGUAAAGCUCUGUUGUUAAAGAAGAACACGUAUGAGAGUAACUGUUCAUGCGUUGACGGUAUUUAACCAGAAAGUCACGGCUAACUACGUGCCAGCAGCCGCGGUAAUACGUAGGUGGCAAGCGUUAUCCGGAUUUAUUGGGCGUAAAGAGAGUGCAGGCGGUUUUCUAAGUCUGAUGUGAAAGCCUUCGGCUUAACCGGAGAAGUGCAUCGGAAACUGGAUAACUUGAGUGCAGAAGAGGGUAGUGGAACUCCAUGUGUAGCGGUGGAAUGCGUAGAUAUAUGGAAGAACACCAGUGGCGAAGGCGGCUACCUGGUCUGCAACUGACGCUGAGACUCGAAAGCAUGGGUAGCGAACAGGAUUAGAUACCCUGGUAGUCCAUGCCGUAAACGAUGAGUGCUAGGUGUUGGAGGGUUUCCGCCCUUUCAGUGCGAGCUACGCAUAGCACUCGCUGAGAGUACGACGCAAGGUUGAAACUCAAAGGAAUUGACGGGCGGCCCCGCAACAAGCCGGGUGGGAAGCA
rnacentral:rRNA from 1 species